rnacentral:rRNA from 1 species
CACGGGUGGCACUGGCAAGGUAUCGAUUCUUACGUUCUCUGGGUGGAUGAUGUACUCUGUAAUGAGUGCGUAAUUCCGGGCCAGGAUCUUUACUUUGAAACAAUUAGAGUGUUUAAAGCAGGCAAUUUCGCUUGAAUACAUUAGCAUGGAAUAAUAGAAUAGGACUUUGGUUCUAUUUUGUUGGUUUCUAGGACCGAAGUAAUGAUUAAUAGGGAUAGUUGGGGGCAUUAGUAUUUAAUUGUCAGAGGUGAAAUUCUUGGAUUUAUGAAAGACUAACUUCUGCGAAAGCAUUUGCCAAGGAUGUUUUCAUUAAUCAAGAACGAGAGUUAGGGGAUCGAAGACGAUCAGAUACCGUCGUAGUCUUAACCAUAACCUAUGCCGACUAGGAAUCGGACAACGUUAUAUUUUAUUGACUUGUUCGGCGCCUUCCGAGAAAUCAAAGUUUUUGGGUUCCGUGGGGAGUAUGGUCGCAAGGCUGAAACUUAAAGGAAUUGACGGAAGGGCACCACCAGGAGUGGAGCGUGCGGCUUAAUUUGACUCAACACGGGGAAACUCACCAGGUCCAGACAUGGUAAGGAUUGACAGAUUGAGAGCUCAUUCUUGAUUGUAUGGGUGGUGGUGCAUGCCCGUUCUUAGUUGGUGGAGUGAUUUGUCUGGUUAAUUCCGUUAACGAACGAGACCUUAACCUGCUAACUAGUUACGCAAACUCGCGUUUGUGGCUAACUUCUUAGAGGGACUAUGAAUGUUUAAUUCAUGGAAGUUUGAGGCAAUAACAGGUCUGUGAUGCCCUUAGAUGUUUUGGGCCGCACGCGCGCUACACUGAUAAAGGCAGCAAGUUAUAUUUUUUCCUUGGCCGGAAGGCCUGGGUAAUCUUCUGAAACUUUAUCGUGCUGGGGAUAGACCAUUGCAAUUAUUGGUCUUCAACGAGGAAUUCCUAGUAAGUGCGAGUCAUCAGCUCGCGUUGAUUACGUCCCUGCCCUUUGUACACACCGCCCGUCGCUACUACCGAUUGAAUGGCU